CAGUAGCCACGGGAAUACGUAGGGUGCAAGCGUUAAUCGGAAUUACUGGGCGUAAAGCGCACGCAGGCGGUCUGACAAGUCAGAUGUGAAAUCCCCGGGCUUAACCUGGGAACUGCAUUUGAAACUGUCAGGCUGGAGUCUUGUAGAGGGGGGUGGAAUUCCAGGUGUAGCGGUGAAAUGCGUAGAGAUCUGGAGGAACACCAGUGGCGAAGGCGACUCUCUGGUCUGUAACUGACGCUGAGGCACGAAAGCGUGGGGAGCAAACAGGAUUAGAUACCCCGGUAGUCCCUGUCUCUUAUAC
rnacentral:rRNA from 1 species